rnacentral:misc_RNA from 1 species
GAUGAAGAACGUAGCGAAAUGCGAUAAGUAAUGUGAAUUGCAGAAUUCAGUGAAUCAUCGAAUCUUUGAACGCACCUUGCGCUCCUUGGCAUUCCUAGGAGCAUGCCUGUUUGAGUGUCAUUAAAUUCUCAAGACCUGUCUGCUUUUUUGAUAGGUAUUGGUUUUUGGGGGUUGCAGGCUGUUUCAAAUAAAUAGCCUUGCUCUCCUUGAAUGUAUUAGUGGAGAAAAGCCAUUGAACUCCAUUGGUGUGAUAAAACCUAUCAAUGCCAGGAGCAAUAUCACUACUUCUCUCUGCUGUCUAACUGUGACUGUCUGUAUUAAUUAGUAUGGAUGGGGACAACUUGACCAACUUGACCUCAAAUCAGGUAGGACUACCCGCUGAACUUAAGCAUAUCAAUAAGCGGAGGA